rnacentral:rRNA from 1 species
UACGGAGGAUGCAAGCGUCAUCCGGAUUCAUUGGGUUUAAAGGGUGCGUAGGCGGACUAUUAAGUCAGUGGUGAAAGCCUGCAGCUUAACUGCAGAACUGCCAUUGAUACUGAUAGUCUUGAGUUUGGUUAAGGUAGGCGGAAUGUGUAAUGUAGCGGUGAAAUGCUUAGAUAUUACACAGAACACCAAUUGCGUAGGCAGCUUACUGAGCCGACACUGACGCUGAGGCACGAAAGCGUGGGGAUCGAA